GCACUCGUGACUAAUUGUCAACUUUCCGCACUUGAUACACAAUAUACUAUUGACACAUGGCGACUGGGAAUAUGGACGUGAUCCUGAGUCAGCUGGAAUGACAGGAUGGCUUUCGAAUUCCUGUCGCUAACGAAGAGAACAAAUGUCUGGAGGAGGAGAUUGCUAGAAAGGUUAAACACAAGCUCUCUCUAAAUGCAAAGCUGGAAAGCCUCGAGGAACGGUUGAAGAUGAUGAAGAAACACACCAAUGAUGUAACCUUGCGGCACGAAUUCAAUCAGAAGUUGCUUGUGGAACAUUCGAUCCAGAUGGAGACAGAGGAUCAUCUGAUUUCUUUAAUGACAACACAAUUAUUUUUAUAUAUUUUUCAAUAUUUAUAAUUCUUUAUACACUUUAUAAUUUUUAUUUCUUUAUUAAAAAUACCACAAACUUAUUUUAAUAAAGUUCAAGACCCACAAAAGUAUCAAAAUGACGUCAUCAACGUCCAAAUGACAUACCUUGUAAUCUGGGGUCAUGUUGCAAUUUAAUGACGUUUAAUGACGUCGCUAGCUGCCUGUGUUUACAUCCAUUAUUUGAGAGAGAAUCUGCUAUGUUCAAUAAGACUUACUAUAUGUUUGUGAAGAAGUUGGGAUCCAAAUACUUAUCGAAUCUAUCCUCAAAUUUGAUAUUACUCUUCUUCCAAUUGACUUCAUAGCUGAAAGGUAUAUGCGCACCCUGCACUAGCUUCACCUUGUUCUCGCUAGUCAGGUUGACAUCCACUAUUUGCUUACCAUUGUACCCAAUGUCAAAUUUUUUAUGCGUCCAAAUAUAAUAGGAAUCUGAUACUGCAAC